GAUGAACGCUGGCGACGUGCCUAAUACAUGCAAGUCGAGCGAACGGACGAGAAGCUUGCUUCUCUGAUGUUAGCGGCGGACGGGUGAGUAACACGUGGAUAACCUACCUAUAAGACUGGGAUAACUUCGGGAAACCGUAGCUAAUACCGGAUAAUAUUUUGAACCGCAUGGUUCAAAAGUGAAAGACGGUUUUGCUGUCACUUAUAGAUGGAUCCGCGCUGCAUUAGCUAGUUGGUAAGGUAACGGCUUACCAAGGCAACGAUGCGUAGCCGACCUGAGAGGGUGAUCGGCCACACUGGAACUGAGACACGGUCCAGACUCCUACGGGAGGCAGCAGUAGGGAAUCUUCCGCAAUGGGCGAAAGCCUGACGGAGCAACGCCGCGUGAGUGAUGAAGGUCUUCGGAUCGUAAAUCUCUGUUAUUAGGGAAGAACAUAUGUGUAAGUAACUGUGCACGUCUUGACGGUACCUAAUCAGAAAGCCACGGCUAACUACGUG
rnacentral:rRNA from 1 species